UACGUAGGCAGCAAGCGUUGUUCGGAAUUACUGGGCGUAAAGAGUGUGUAGGCGGUGUUCCAAGUCUGGUGUGAAAUCUCCCGGCUUAACUGGGAGGGUGCAUUAGAAACUGGAAUGCUAGAGGAUGGGAGAGGUAAGCGGAAUUCCGCGUGUAGCAGUGAAAUGCGUAGAUAUGCGGAGGAACACCGAUGGCGAAGGCAAUCCCCUGGGCCUGCACUGACGCUCAUGCACGAAAGCGUGGGGAGCAAACAGG
rnacentral:rRNA from 1 species